AACUAAAAAUCACCAUUAUAAAAUCUAUUCUUCCAAAAAAUGGGACUCAAACAAGCUCGUAAUAUGAUCUCAUUGAAUGGAUAAUACAUAAUAUCCAGGAAAGGACUUUGGAAGAGCACAAGAAGUUGGUAGAAAGAAUUAUGAAAACGGAUAAGAGAAGGCGAAAGAGGAUUGAGGCCUCUGGUAUUGAUUAUGAUUGUCCAGAAAUUAUUGGAAACCAGCCCACCUCAAAGAAGAUUAGGUUUGACGAAGAGUAGGCUUUGCAUUGGAAACCAGAAGUAUGCCUUUUUGACAUUGAAUGUGCGUUUUUGUCUGCUACUGGUUUCCUGUGCAGUACCUUGAGCGCAUGUUUAGUGAGUUCUAAAUUGGAGUGGAAGUAUAAUGUACGAGAUUUGAACUUCUUUUUCCUUGAUACUUCCAGUAUCCUUACCAACUUUGCCACAAGUGUAGAGCAGCCAAGAAUAGACAAGCAGGUGUCUCUUUUAGUAUAUGGAAGGCUUAUCAGUAUAACGAUGCUCUUUUGUACGGUUAUUUUAUUGAACUUCAUUUGCCCAAUUCCAUGCAGUACCUAUACUAGUCUUA